UUAGCCCGAAUUAUUGAAACCAAUCGAUUGAUCAAAAAUAACUGUAAGGAUUGGCUUAGGAAUCUUAGAAUAUUUCUGAGCUUGAAAAAAUUAAGUUAUGUACUCGAUCAGAAACCUCUAGUUUUAUCAAACUGUCCAACUAUUUGAACAAAGGAUAAUAUUUGAAAAAUAGAUGAAUAAUGACAAUAAGGUCAAGUGCUAUAUCUUGACGUCAAUGUCUAAUAAACUCCAAUGCCAGCAUGAGGACA
rnacentral:lncRNA from 1 species